GGAGAGGUGGUUCAGAGGUUAAGAACAUUGACUGCUCUUCCAGAGAUCCUGGGUUCAAUUCCCAGCAACCACA
rnacentral:tRNA from 1 species